GCCGGGGUGGCGAAAGUGGCAGACGCAAGGGACUUAAAAUCCCUCGACCCUUUGGGUCAUACGGGUUCGAAUCCCGUCCCCGGCA
rnacentral:tRNA from 4 species